AGAGUUUGAUCCUGGCUCAGAUUGAACGCUGGCGGCAUGCUUUACACAUGCAAGUCGGACGGCAGCACAGAGAAGCUUGCUUCUUGGGUGGCGAGUGGCGAACGGGUGAGUAACAUAUCGGAACGUACCGGGCAGUGGGGGAUAACUAAUCGAAAGAUUAGCUAAUACCGCAUAUCUUCUGAGGAAGAAAGCAGGGGACCAUUUGGCCUUGCGCUGUUUGAGCGGCCGAUAUCUGAUUAGCUAGUUGGUGGGGUAAAGGCCUACCAAGGCGACGAUCAGUAGCGGGUCUGAGAGGAUGAUCCGCCACACUGGGACUGAGACACGGCCCAGACUCCUACGGGAGGCAGCAGUGGGGAAUUUUGGACAAUGGGCGCAAGCCUGAUCCAGCCAUGCCGCGUGUCUGAAGAAGGCCUUCGGGUUGUAAAGGACUUUUGUCAGGGAAGAAAAGGGCGGGGUUAAUACCCCUGUCUGAUGACGGUACCUGAAGAAUAAGCACCGGCUAACUACGUGCCAGCAGCCGCGGUAAUACGUAGGGUGCGAGCGUUAAUCGGAAUUACUGGGCGUAAAGCGGGCGCAGACGGUUACUUAAGCAGGAUGUGAAAUCCCCGGGCUCAACCUGGGAACUGCGUUCUGAACUGGGUGACUAGAGUGUGUCAGAGGGAGGUAGAAUUCCACGUGUAGCAGUGAAAUGCGUAGAGAUGUGGAGGAAUACCGAUGGCGAAGGCAGCCUCCUGGGAUAACACUGACGUUCAUGCCCGAAAGCGUGGGUAGCAAACAGGAUUAGAUACCCUGGUAGUCCACGCCCUAAAC
rnacentral:rRNA from 1 species